rnacentral:rRNA from 1 species
ACGGAAGGCAGCAGUGGGGAAUAUUGGACAAUGGGGGAAACCCUGAUCCAGCGACGCCGCGUGAGUGAAGAAGUAUUUCGGUAUGUAAAGCUCUAUCAGCAGGGAAGAUAAUGACGGUACCUGACUAAGAAGUCCCGGCUAACUACGUGCCCGCAGCCGCGGUCAUACGUAGGGGGCAAGCGUUAUCCGGAUUUACUGGGUGUAACGGGAGCGUAGACGGCAUGGCAAGUCUGAUGUGAAAACCCGGGGCUCAACCUCGGGACUGCAUUGGAAACUGUCAGGCUAGAGUGCAGGAGAGGUAAGUGGAAUUCCUAGUGUAGCGGUGAAAUGCGUAGAUAUUAGGAGGAACACCAGUGGCGAAGGCGGCUUACUGGACUGUAACUGACGUUGAGGCUCGAAAGCGGGGGGAGCAAACAGGAUUAGAUACCCUGGUA